AUACGUAGGGGGCGAGUGUUGUCCGGAAUGAUUGGGCGUAAAGGGCGCGUAGGCGGCCCGGUAAGUCUGGAGUGAAAGUCCUGUUUUUAAGAUGGGAAUUGCUUUGGAUACUGUCGGGCUUGAGUGCAGGAGAGGUAAGUGGAAUUCCCAGUGUAGCGGUGAAAUGCGUAGAGAUUGGGAGGAACACCAGUGGCGAAGGCGACUUACUGGACUGUAACUGACGCUGAGGCGCGAAAGUGUGGGGAGCAAACAGGAUUAGAUACCCUGGUAGUCCACACUGUAAACGAUGAAUGCUAGGUGUAGGGGGUAUCGACCCCUUCUGUGCCGCAGUCAACACAAUAAGCAUUCCGCCUGGGGAGUACGGCCGCAAGGUUGAAACUCAAAUGAAUUGGCGGG
rnacentral:rRNA from 1 species